CCCUUGGAAACAACGAAACGUUGACUCGCUUGUGCAUCAUUUCCAUAUAUAGUUAAAGCGUGUUAGCGUUAAAUUAAUCAGGAAUUUUGUGUAAAUCUAACUUGCCUUUCUCGUCACGCUUGGAGAACAAAGUUCCAUAACUUUAGUCAACGUUUGGAGUCUUUCUCUCUGUCACCCAUGAAGUGCUCUUCUCCUCACCUGCGCCCCACUGUACAACAGCCAACAUGCCCCGUUUCCUACUGUCGAAGCCAAGAGGAGAAGACCAUCCUGACGACAGAAGAGGUUCACCUACAGCUACUGCUGUCUGCCGUGGCCUCCCAGGUGUCCCAUCCGGAGAACAUGGAAGAGAACACCCUGAUUAUUUUACGAAAGGACGUACUCCGCUCUGCCACCAAGGCAUUCAGCUGGGAAACUAUUCAACCUCAGAGGUUCAAUGUGAGGGGUCAGUCGACCAACAUGGUCAAACACAGGAGUUCCUUCAGCUGUUGAUGGCAGCCAUCCAAGACUGUUGUUUGUUCCAGGGGCCAGACCACUGCAAAAGCCUAGUAUUGGACUAGUAUUGUAAGAUCGCACUGUUUAUAUGUUCAAAUAUGACACUUUCUAUCUAGUCCUAGAACUCUGUCCUGUUGUAUCACUUUCAGUGUACUCCAAGCAGAGUGAACUAUAAGGUCCUAUAUGGUAUAUUGCUACAUAGAUAGGUGGCCUCUUAUGCACUUUCCAUAGUAAAACCCCCCCCCCCUUAAUUUAAUAAGGUGGUAUUAACUUGUACCAUGUUUUAGUUUCAGCCUGGGAUAAUGUACAGGCUGGUGGAGAGCAUGAUCAGUGUCUGAGUGGUGAGAUAUGGCCCCACUUCCUGUCCAGGAGAACGUUUGACAUGAUCUGUGGUCUUCCGUCUGCUCCUGUGGCCCUGGACGAGAUCACACAUGAGGAAAUACGAGCCAGGCUGGAGAAGGCACGUGACAUGUUCAUGUGUCCUUUGCCGUAUAUAUUGGUUUGUGUUUGUAGCCUGAGCCCUGGGCUUGUAUUCACAUAGCUUCUCAGACUAGGAGUGCUGAUCUUGGACCAGGUCCUUCCUGUACAUACAGGUAACUGCAAAAAUAAAGGAAAUGCCAAUAAUUAGUGUCUUAUUAGGGCGUUAGGCCACCACGAGCCAGAACAGCUUCAGUGUACCUUGGCAUAGAUUCUACAAGUGUCUGGAACUCUGUUGGAGGGAUACAACACCAUUCUUCAAUGAGAAAUUCCAUAAUUUGGUGUUUUGUUGAUUGUGGUGGGAAAUGCUGUCUCAGGCUCUGCUCCAGAAUCUUCCAUGCGUGUUCAAUUGGGUUGAGAUCUGGUGACUGAGACGGACACAUCAUAUGGCUUACAUUGUUUUCAUGCUCAUCAAACCAUUCAGUGACCACACGUGCCCUAUGGAUGGGGCAUUGUCAUCCUAUGGGGGCAAAGCCAUUGUAGAAAACAUAAUGGCCUGUCCAGUAUUGUUAUACAUGACCCUAAGCAUAAUGGGAUGUUAAUUGCUUAAUUAACUCUGGAAGAACCUGCUCUCAAUCUACUUUUUAUCCCUCAUUUACUCAAGUGACAGUAUUUAGAGUAUUUAAACGUUUUGUAUUCUUUGUUGGAUUGGCAAUGCCACUGUCAGCCUGAGAAAUAUGCUGAGAAGGAUUAUCACCACAGCAAGCAAGGUACUUGGAGUCAAACAGACAGGCCUGGAUGAGAUCUUUAAGGUCAGGGCCCUCCACAA